rnacentral:rRNA from 1 species
GACGAACGCUGGCGGCGUGCCUAACACAUGCAAGUCGAACGGAGUUAAGUUUUCGGAUUUAACUUAGUGGCGAACGGGUGAGUAACGCGUGAGGAACCUGCCUUUCAGUGGGGGACAACAGUUGGAAACGACUGCUAAUACCGCAUAAUGUUAUUUGGGGGCAUCCCCGAAUAACCAAAGAUUUAUUGCUGAAAGAUGGCCUCGCGUCUGAUUAGCUAGUUGGUGAGGUAACGGCCCACCAAGGCGACGAUCAGUAGCCGGUCUGAGAGGAUGAACGGCCACAUUGGGACUGAGAUACGGCCCAGACUCCUACGGGAGGCAGCAGUGGGGAAUAUUGGGCAAUGGGGGAAACCCUGACCCAGCAACGCCGCGUGAAGGAAGAAGGCUUUCGGGUUGUAAACUUCUUUUAGCAGGGACGAAGGACGUGACGGUACCUGCAGAAAAAGCAACGGCUAACUACGUG